rnacentral:rRNA from 1 species
UAAGACGGAGGAGGGAAGCGUUGUUCGGAAUUACUGGGUGUAAGGGGCGCGUAGGUGUGCUGGCAAGUCCUCUGUGAAAGCCCUCUUCUCAAGGGAGGAAGAGCAGUGGAAACUGUCAGCAUUGAGUGUAGGAGAGGAGAGCGGAACUCCCGGUGUAGCGGUGAAAUGCGUAGAUAUCGGGAGGAACACCGGUGGCGAAGGCGGCUCUCUAGCCUGAUACUGACACUGAGGCGCGAAAGCCAGGGGAGCGAAUGGGAUUAGAUACCCCAGUAGUCCUGGCCGUAAACGAUGGGCAUUAGGUGUAGGGGGUUUAUACCUUCUGUGCCGUAGUUAACACGUUAAAUGCCCCACCUGGGGAGUACGGUCGCAAGACUG